rnacentral:tRNA from 1 species
CACCCGUAGCUCAGCUGGAUAGAGCGCUGCCCUCCGAAGGCAGAGGUCACAGGUUCGAAUCCUGUCGGGUGUGCCA